rnacentral:sRNA from 1 species
UGGUGAACUUGGGUCUGUCCCGGGUGGACGACGCCGUGGCUGCCAAGCACCCGGCACCGGCAUGGCCUUCGGCUUGCAGAUGUUCAUUCAGAGGAAGUUUCCAUACCCUUUGCAGUGGAGCCUUCUAGUGGCCGUGGUUGCAGGCUCUGUGGCCAGCUACGGGGUGACAAGAGUGGAGUCAGAGAAAUGCAGCAACCUCUGGCUCUUCCUGGAGACCGGGCAGCUCCCCAAAGACAUGAGCACAGAUCAGCGAAGCUAGGAGAGCUCCAGCCGGGGCACGGAGGAUUGGGGGCAGGAGGAGUCUGGAACACAGCCUUCAUGCCCCCUGACCCCAGGCUGACCCUCCCCACACCCUAGGGUACCCCAGUCGUAUCCUCUGUCCGCAGGCAUAGCCAGGCCUGACAAACCCCUGCAGACGGCUGCUGCCGCAACCUGGGACCUGCCCAGGAGGUUGGAGCAGAAAGGGCUCUCCCUGGGGUGGUGGUUCUCCUCUAGGGUAUCGGGACGCAUGGUCUGCACUGCCAGCAGAGAGGGUGUGUCUGGGGGCCACCACCUAUGGGACACGUGGUAGAAGGGGCCUGUGCACUCUGUCAUUUCCUUUCUAGCUCCUGCAUCUCCGAUAAGUCCAAGGUGACAGCUGGUGCUAGGGGUGUGGGGUUAAUAAAUGGCUUAUCCUUCUCUCC